UGAUUGAUCUGUAUAAUCUCGUGCAUCAUGCCUCGUCUGUAUUGCCUUGUUCAGCUUUUUCUUUUUAUGAGCAACAGACUGUUGCGUAUGCCAGCAUGAUGAGCUGAUGAGGGAGGGGUGGAGACUGUGCCCUUUAAAAGCAUGCUGUAGAGACUGUGUAAGAGGGAGCGCUUUACGGAAGACGGGCAGUCACGUGGGAAUAGCGGAAGUGUGACUGGCGAGUUGGCGUCUUCCGGAGACCGCGUGCGCGGGUGGAUGAACGGCGAACACGCUGACAGACUCGGAGGUUAUACCAGUAUGCAACGAGUGUGAGCAGAUCCAUGUGCAGUGUAUACGCUGAAGGACGAGGUUAGCUACACUAUGUGAUGAGUGCGGGUGGACUGGCGUGUAGUGACGAUGCCGAGAGAGAGCGAGAGGAAUCCACGCUGUGAGUGGAGCGUAAGAGUGUUUAUCCCGGCGGAACAGAACACUCCGGUUACAACGCUGGACGUCGUGUAGACUGGGUAGUGGGAAUUGCUACCCGGUCCUAUUUGUGCUGUUUAAAUCCGGUGGAGACUUAGGCCACUGUAGGACUGAAUCGAAGUGGUGCACUGCUCUGAUCGAGCCAGGACAGACUGGACUGCUCCUUUGGACUAACAUCAUCUUGCAUCCUUCUUAAGGACUUCUUAGUGUGCUAUUUUUUUUAAUUGAAUAUUACAUUGAUUUUCUAAAUCUUAAAUAUUUUUAUCUGUGUAUUUAAUAAAAGGUCUUUGUAACUUGA